CAUUUAAUUGCAGAGGAUGCUUCGGGAGCGGUCCCCAUCUAAGUGCCCUGGAACGGGACGUCAUAGAGGGUGAGAAUCCCGUAUGGGAUGGGGUGUCCGCGCCCAUGUGAAGCUCCUUCGACGAGUCGAGUUGUUUGGGAAUGCAGCUCUAAAUGGGUGGUAAAUUUCAUCUAAAGCUAAAUAUUGGCCGGAGACCGAUAGCGCACAAGUAGAGUGAUCGAAAGAUGAAAAGCACUUUGAAAAGAGAGUUAAAAAGCACGUGAAAUUGUUGAAAGGGAAGCGCUUGCGACCAGACUCGCUCGUGGGGUUCAGCCGGCAUUCGUGCCGGUGUACUUCCCCGCGAGCGGGCCAGCGUCGGUUUGGGCGGUCAGUCAAAGGCCUCUGGAAGGUAACGCCCCCUCGGGGGCGUCUUAUAGCCAGGGGUGCAAUGUGGCCUGCCCGGACCGAGGAACGCGCUUCGGCUCGGACGCUGGCAUAAUGGUCGUAAGCGACCCGUCUUGAAACACGGACCAAGGAGUCUAACAUCUAUGCGAGUGUUCGGGUGUCAAACCCGUGCGCGCAGUGAAAGCGAACGGAGGUGGGAACCCUCACGGGUGCACCAUCGACCGAUCCUGAUGUCUUCGGAUGGAUUUGAGUAAGAGCAUAGCUGUUGGGACCCGAAAGAUGGUGAACUAUG
rnacentral:rRNA from 1 species